UCUUUGUCCCGACCACUAUAGUGCUGUGUUUCCCAUCCAAGUUAAGUUAUAGAAGAAAAAAAAAGCAGAAAAGAGAGUACACGUAGGCAUAAAUAGGCCUAAAUAAUCUUCAGCUAUUUAUAAUCUGUAGAGACUCUCUGAAGGGACGCUGUCCGAAAAUAGAAACUCGAGCAUUUUGCACUUAGGUCCAACUUGGGUUGUUUUAAAUGUGUCAUUUUUUUUUUUUUUGGUCUUUGUUUUGAGUUAAAAAUGAAGGCCGUCUACGUGCAAUGCAGGGUUCUGGAUGGGACCUUGGAACAGAAAGGGACGUCGGUGGAAAAACCACUCAAAUCUGAAUAAAGGCUGAAGUUGAGUUAGUAGCAAUGCAGCUCUGCUGGUUUUUCCGUUCUGACAAGUGCACCCUGAGACAUAAAACGCUAACAUUAGGAGAAACAGCGAGGGGCACUGGGAACUCCCUGUACUAUCUCUGUGGCUUCUCUGUAAACUUAAGAUUAUUCCAAAGUCAAAACAUGUUUAAGUGGAACAGCUGUCUUUGAACUUCAGACUCUAAUAUCUGUGCUCUUCACACUUGGUUUGAAAGGAGACAGCGUCGUAGUGUUUAGCAAGGAGGGGACUUGGGCCAGAGGAUCCCAACUGUUGAUACCAAUUUUAAAACCUCAAAGUGGCAGCAUUUUUAGUGGCAAGAUCCUCAGACUUAAGCGUCACCUUAUUUGUGAAGAGGGUAGAGGGAGUCAAAUAUAGGGUGAUGGAAGGAGACCAGACGUUGGGUGGUGAACAGGUCCACAACUUAACAAUACAGACGUUCUAUUAUAAAGUUAUGUGCCUGAAACUUAUAUAAUGGUAUUAACUAAUAUUAUCCCAAUAAAUUUAACUUAAAAUUUUAUAAAGGAGCAAAUAAUGACCGUGGGGGGAAAAAAAUCACCUAAUUGGAGUCUCAGCUCCAACAUUUACUGUGUUGUAUUCUUGGGCAGGUUAUUUUCAUUUAUCUUUUCAGAACCUGUUUCUUUAUUAUAUAACACAGAUUUGGGCACCUGCCAUACAACGCCAUAACGAAAGUUGUUAGUACAUUCUUCUUGGUCUUAGUAAGAAACAGAUUUGGGGAACUGAAAGUGAUAGUUCUCGGGGGAAUGAUGGUUUUUCUUGGAACUCUUGGUUGCAAAUAACAAACACCCUCUUCAAACUAACUUAAGGAGAGAAAGAAAAAAA